CCUACGGGAGGCAGCAGUGGGGAAUAUUGCACAAUGGGGGAAACCCUGAUGCAGCGACGCCGCGUGAGUGAAGAAGUAUUUCGGUAUGUAAAGCUCUAUCAGCAGGAACGAGACAAGACGGUACCUGACUAAGAAGCCCCGGCUAACUACGUGCCAGCAGCCGCGGUAAUACGUAGGGGGCAAGCGUUAUCCGGAAUCACUGGGUGUAAAGGGAGCGUAGACGGCUGUGCAAGCCUGAAGUGAAAGGCGGGGGCCCAACCCCUGGACUGCUUUGGGAACUGUACGGCUGGAGUGCAGGAGAGGUAAGUGGAAUUCCUAGUGUAGCGGUGAAAUGCGUAGAUAUAUGGAAGAACACCAGUGGCGAAGGCGGCCGCCUGGCCUGUUGCUGACGCUGAGGCACGAAAGCGUGGGGAGCAAAUAGGAUUAGAUACCCUGGUAGU
rnacentral:rRNA from 1 species